ensembl:lincRNA
GUGCUUAUUUGAAACUGCAUAUGAUGUGUGGGAGGCAUAGGGCAGAGUUUUGCUUUUUAUCUUUGUGUUUCCUUCAGCACCAUUUGCUGAAAUGGUUGCCCUUUCUCCAUUGCAUUGUUUUAACAUCUCUGCUGAAAAUCCAUCAGCCAUAUAUGGGAGAUUCUGUCAUGUAUCCCUGUUCUGAUCCUCUGAUUCUCCUUCUAUCUUGACACUCACACCACAUUGUGUUAUUAUCAUUAUAUAUUGAUUAAGCUUUGAAAUCGGGGAGUGUGGGUCCCCCAGAUUUGUUUUAGUUAGUUGGAUUCCUGUUGCUUUUCUAUUUAAAUUUUGGAAUCAGCUUAUCAAUUUUUACUUAAUAAAGCCCACUAGGAUUUUGAUUUGGAUUAUGUUGAAUUUAUAGAUCAAUUUGGGGAGAAUUCACAUCUUACAACAAUGAUCUUAUAAUCACCCCCCCCAACCCCCUGUACUGGGGACUGAACUCAGGACCUUGUGCUUGCCAGGCAGGUGCUGCACCACUGAGCCACAUCCCUGGCCCAUGACUUUACAAUCUUUUGAUUUAUUUUUAAACUGUCUUUCAAAAUGGUACUAAAGCAUAUAUCUGUGAUUCCAGCACUCUGGAAGCUGAGACAGCAGGAUCGCUGCUGUGAGUUUGCAGCCAGCUUGGCUUACAUAGUGAAUUCAAGACUAGCCUCAACUACAUAGGGAGACCCUGUCUCAAAAAUAAGAUAAAAUGACACUAAAGGACUCAGCAUGGAGUUUAGCAGUAGUGUUUGCCUACCGUGGGUGAGGCUCUAGGUUCAAUCCCUAGUACAGGAAAAAAAAGCGAAAGUGGCAGCAAAAAAAUGAAGUAAUUUGGCCUAAAUUUAUCAAAAUGUGAACUUGAGGUACACACUGUAAACUAUAGCAAGUGAAGAAAGAAGUCAAAGAUUUAAAGUGAUUGAAGACUGAAGAUACAUGGCAGCUGUCUGGACACCAGCCUCAUCUCUCACCCCCGCCAUUGGAGUUACCUGGUUCCUCCAGAUUCCAAGCUUCCCUGUGGUUCCAAGGGUACGUGGCCAGCAACCAGAGUCUGCAGGCAUGGUCUAUGGAGCAGCUCCUGUCACGAGUAUUAAUGGGACAGUGAAACGUUUCUUGGGGGGUGUCCUACCCCUGAUGUAGCCUGUGGUGAUGAUGAAUCCCAUCUUGCUGGAUGCUUGGGUACGUGCAGUGCCCACUGUGGUGGAUUAACUUGCAAAGUCUGGCUUGGCUGGGGGAACAGGAAAGACAGAGGAACCUGACAAAUCGGAAGAGGUGAUAUCAUCUAUUGCUGCAAAACAAACUAAUCUUAAACUUAGCAAUCUAAAAUAACAAUAAACAUUUACUACCUCCCAGGCUAUGUGAGUCAAGAAUUUGACUCAACCUGGUGGUUCUGGCUCAGGGUCUCUGAUGAGGUGACAGUCAAAAUAGCAACCGAGGCUAUAAGCGUCUGAAAGCUUGACCAGGGCUGGAAGAUCUGCCUCCCAGAUGGCUUAUUCAUAUGCCUGCAAGCUAGGGUGGCUGCUUCCAGGAAUCCUUUCCUUGCCACGUGGACCUUUCUGUCCUUACAAUGUAGCAACUGGCUUACC